GAGCCGUCUCGAUACUGAUGGCGAUGACUUUAUCCCUCGGGAGACACCACAACUUAGCGAAGAUGGCACCAAAGCUGUACCCGCAAAUGGCUACCAACAACCCCGCCACAACCAUCUGCCACGUCAUCAUGGCACAGUAAGACUGACGAGGGAGAGAGCCAGGUUGGAGUAAGGGAUCUGGAGGUUAGCGUUAUCCUCCAGGAGUUUCUUCCCCAGGGUAAACAUCCACAGCGGCAUCAUCCCUGAGGAGACAACGUGUUUUGUUUAUCUGGUGUACACAUCUUGGCCAACAUCACUGAAGAUCCAUUAUUUUGUCUGGUGAAAUUAACUCAUUGUACAGUAUUGUAUUUAAUUUCUGUAUUUCUUUAUAUCUUUUCUACAUUUUGUAGCAUAUAUAUACAAUUACUUCGUUUUCACCUAUUUAUUAUCUCAUCAGGAUAACUAGGAUUAUGAGGUAAUACAGUAUACUACUUAAUAUUCUAAUACUUAGUACCUGUAUAGAGAAUUAUUUGCAUUUUAUGUAUAUAGAUCAUGAUACUUUUCACGACAGUAAAUAUAAAAGUUUGUUAGCAAGUACAUGAUCAAUCUUAGUGUAUAAUAAGUUACAUUAUUUCAUAUAUACAGUGUAUGUAUUCCAGAAACUUAGUACAAUUGUGUUCUUAUGUAACAACCUAACCCAGCCAAAAUCUCUUCAACUUUGCCAUCUACUGUACACAAAUCCAGUAUAAUCUAAACUCUCUUAACCCCCUAAGCAAAUUUGAGUAAGCAUUAGAAUCAGGAUAGAUUGCAUAAUAUGAAAAAUUUAAAGUGUUGUUGAAAUUGAUGUUUGUUAAUAUAGUAUCAGGCCCCCCCAAAAAUCAGAAGAAUAAAUCACCCAUGGCAGCAAUGGUAGAGAUAGCAGUCAUGGUGAUGGAGAGGUUGAUGUCUCCAUCAAACAUAAGGGUCCAGAAGUUCGAGGAGGUUCCCCCUGGGCUACAACCAAGCGUGAACAGUCCCAGACGCUGUAGUGGGUCCUCGAAGAAGAUCUUACCCAUGAUGAACGAAAACUGAAAGAUACUGCUGCUGGCUGAGUCAUCCACCUUACUGUUGCUGGCUGGGUCAUCCACCUCACUGUUGCUGGCUGAGUCAUCCACCUUACUGCUACUGGCUGAGUCAUCCACACAGAUGGUUGACAGAUAGCCAGCUGUUCAUGGAGUUUGUAAUUAGUUUGGUGUAUAGAGAACAAGAUGUAACAGUAAGUAAAAUAAAGAAUACGCAUAAUCAUAA